AACACUUGUGUUUGGUUUUGUUUGACUUGUGAACAAAGACUUACAGACAGGUACAAAAAAAUCAUCUUUUGCAACCCAUGAGUUUUUAUAUAUACAAGAAGGAAUAUU
rnacentral:snoRNA from 1 species